GGUCGUAAUCGCUUCUUGCAGUUGGAACCAUCGUUUCUCCUGCUGCGUGGAUUCGGUAGCAUCGGUCCAGAGUGCCUCAUGGUUGCCGCUCACCUGAUUAGGUCCAGAAAAAUGAAGCCAUUCUUUCGGCACCUGAGCCACGCAGUAAAUAUGAGGAGGGGAGCAGAGGGAUCAGCGUAUGGGCCUCUUGACGACCUUCACCUGCCGCACACAGAUGAUGUCACCCGUAGCCUCGUUCACCCCAUCCAGACUGUAGAGGGAAACUGUCUCUCGGGCCCCUGCUGGCCAGGAACUUUUUAAUCAGUUUCGUGGUCGCUGAAAACGAUGUGUUGAAAAAUGUGAUGUCGGAAAUAACACCACGGCGACUGUGCCAGUCUUUAGUAGUGUAGCCUCGCCGCUUCCUUCAUAUAUAGUACAUACCCGUGUCCUCAUUUUUCUUUGACUUGGCACCCAACAUCCACUUCUGUAUCCUUCGAUCCACUUCUGUAUCCUUCCUCCAGGUCUCCUCGGCGACGCAUAUCAACAAGGACGCGCGGAAAUGUUCUCCUCUCUCCGUAAAAACUCGGGACACGAUUCGUCCAUUAGUCUCGCACCUUGAGGCUUCUCUUUCUCACUCUCGUAAACCCAAA